GACGAACGCUGGCGGCGUGCUUAACACAUGCAAGUCGAACGGUAAGGCCUGUCGUUGUACACGAGCGUCGAACGGGUGAGUAACACGUGGGUGAUGUUCCCUGCACUUCUGGAUAAGCCUGAGAAACUGGGUCUAAUACCGGAUAUGACCUACUAUCGCAGUGUGAGUGGUUGAAAGAUUUAUCGGUGAAGGAUGGGCUCGCGGCCUCUCAGCUUGUAGGUGAGGUAAUGGACUACCACGGGGACGACGGGUAGCCGCCCUGAGAGGGUGACAGGCCACACUGGGCUUGAGAAACGGCCCAGACUGAUACGGGAGGAAGCAGUGGGGAAUAUUGCACAAUGGGCGAAAGCAUGAUGCAGCGACGCCGCGUCAGGGAUGACGGCCUUAGGGUUGUAACCCUCUUUCAGCAGGGAAGAAGAGAAAGUGACGGUACCUGAAGAAGAAGCAACGGCUAACUACGUG
rnacentral:rRNA from 1 species